AUUUCCGGUUGAUCCUGCCGGAGGCUACCGCCUAUUGGAGUUCGAUUAAGCCAUGCCGAGUCGAGAGUCUUAGGGACUCGGCGUACCGCUCAGUAACACGUGGGUAACCUGCCCUAUGCUGGGGAAUAACCUCGGGAAACUGAGAAUAAUACCCCAUAGUUCACCACGCCUGGAACGGUGGGUGGAUGAAAGCUCCGGCGGCAUACGAUGGGCCUGCGACGUAUCAGGUUGUAGGGGGUGUAACGUACCCUCUAGCCAUCAACGCGUACGGGUGUUGGGAGACAUAUCCCGGACAUGGAUUCUGAGACACGAAUCCAGACCCUACGGGGUGCAGCAGGCGCGAAAACUUGGCAAUGCGAGCAAUCGUGACCAGGGAACUCCAAGUGGCUGGGGUAAUACCCAGUUUUUUCUUGACUCUUCAAAGGUCUUGGAAUAAGGGGUGGGUAAGGACGGUGCCAGCCGCCGCGGUAAUACCGGCGCCUCAAGUGGUAGUCGCUUUUAUUGGGCCUAAAACGUCCGUAGCCGGUCUGGUGCAUUCGUGGGUAAAUCAACCCGCUCAACGGGUCGAAUUCUGCGAGCACGGCCAGACUUGGGACCGGGAGAGGUGUG
rnacentral:rRNA from 1 species